GGCCCCAGAGAGGGCUGAGCUCAUUGGACAGCUUCCCCGCGCGUCUAUAAAAGUGUCGUGGCCGCGGCGCGGGUAAGCGAGCUAGAGGGAUCCUGGCGGCGGACGAGAACGCUAAGCCUCGCGUCUCAAAGCCCCGGGCCGGGCCUGCCAGGGUCCCCUAGACCCCAGGUCCCUCACGCCCUUCGCACGCGGGGAUGGGAUGGCCUCCUUCGCCUCUCUCUGUCCGCGAGAGGAGCUCUACCUCUUAGCCUUUAUCCCCAAAGAGAACAUCCACUUGCUUUGAUUUGGACGUAAGAAAUAUUUUUCGCUUAUGGGUCAUUGUAAUUGUUCAAGUAAACUCUGAAAACGUUGGCAGUUAUUCUCACGUGGAGAGGCUCCCUCACGAAUCCAUCACGCUGCGCAGUGUGCCCAUGCGUCAGUAGAGGCAGAAAGUGAAGGAAGACCCCAAAGUCACUAGAGCACCUUUAGGUUCACGGCGCAGUUGAGGUGUGGAGAUUUCCCAUAUACCCACUGCCUUCACACGUGCACAGCCUCCGCCGUUUGCAACAUUCUUCGCCAGGGGGAAGAGAAGUAGCAAAGCUCUAAAGGGAGAAUUAUUUUUUUGCAAUUUCCCCCCAUUUCAUCGCUCGUGGUGGAUAUCCACAUGUUCCAGUGCCCUAUUUCAAAAAGAUGAUCCUUUCUCCUUUGAGUUGCCUUGGUAAUCUCAUACGGAACUCUGGCUUCAGCAGACUUCUCACCGAGGCAUCCUGUGUCAACAUUUGCAACUCAGAUGCCACGGAACUGUCCACUCAUAUCGCCAGCCUGGCGUCUCUGCUGUGAUGCCGUAUGAAUCUCAAUGUAAUAAAACCCAGCUGCGGUGACUCUAAGCGUACCUUCUAGGACCGGACCGUCCAGCCAGUUGUGGACAUCGAGCCCUGGAAUUCAUCUUGCUACCUCCCUCUCCCUCGCUCUCUUAUCCAGUCCUUUGCCAAUUCCCUGUCUUUACCUCCUAAGGGCCUCUCUGAUCAUCUACUUCUCUCCAUCCCCACUGCCACCAGGAAUCCACGAUCCUCCUUCAUCCGGACUCUUGCAGUAUCCCCCAGUUGUCUUCCUGUAUCCUUGCUUUCUGCGUCUAAUUUGGUUUCUUCACAACAGCCAUAGCCAGAAUCAUUUUUUAAAGGAUUUACAUUUGGGGUACCUGGGUGGCUCAGUCAGUUAAGCGCCAGACUUCGGCUCAGCUCAUGAUCUCGCAGUUCGUGGGUUCGAGCCCCACGU